UACGGGGGGUGUGAUCGUUAAUCGGAAUUACGGGGCGGAAACCGCGCGUAGGCGUCGUGAUAAGCCGGUUGUGAAAGCCCCGGGCUCAACCUGGGAACGGCAUCCGGAACUGUCAGGCUAGAGUGCAGGAGAGGAAGGUAGAAUUCCCGGUGUAGCGGUGAAAUGCGUAGAGAUCGGGAGGAAUACCAGUGGCGAAGGCGGCCUUCUGGACUGACACUGACGCUGAGGUGCGAAAGCGUGGGUAGCAAACAGG
rnacentral:misc_RNA from 1 species